AUACCUUUCUCGGCCUUUUGGCUAAGAUCAAGUGUAGUAUCUGUUCUUAUCAGUUUAAUAUCUGAUACGUGGGCCAAUGGCCCACAAUGAUAUUAAAUUUAUUUUUUAAGGAGGAAGUCUCAUCACAGUAGCUUGCUACUGGGGUCUUCAUGUGUCGCCCAUGCUUUGCACUACUGCACGGGCCUGGCGCACUCCAC
rnacentral:snRNA from 1 species